UGACUAGAUAAAGGUAUUUGCAACUACUGCAUACACAAAAGUUUGUACACAAAAUUAAGUCCUCGGGCCUUGUUCCCUCACAAUCUCAAGUUACUUUCGCUUUAACUUUUUGGAGGCCUUAUGGCUUUCAAUUUUCUUCUGUGCAGCUUCAAAUUNNNNCUUCAAAUUCUUCUUCCGUAGGUUCAGGACCUGCAUUACCGCCAUAUUUGGACACCAGAGAUGAGAACAUGGAAUCAAAUUGGUCUUUUCUCUCACUUCGCCGCUGAGAUAUAAUAGC
rnacentral:misc_RNA from 1 species